UGGGGAAUAUUGGGCAAUGGGGGCAACCCUGACCCAGCGACGCCGCGUGGGGGAAGACGGCCUUCGGGUUGUAAACCUCUUUUGUACGGGAAGAAGGAAGUGACGGUACUGUACGAAUAAGUCCCGGCUAACUACGUGCCAGCAGCCGCGGUAAUACGUAGGGGACGAGCGUUGUCCGGAAUUACUGGGCGUAAAGGGCGCGCAGGCUGUGCUGCAAGUCAGCUGUUAAAUGUCUGGGCUUAACCCGGGCAUGCGGUUGAGACAGCGGUGCUGGAGUGCUGUAGAGGCAAGUGGAAUUCCCAGUGUAGCGGUGAAAUGCGUAGAUAUUGGGAAGAACACCGGUGGCGAAGGCGGGUCUCUGGGCCGUUACUGACGCUGAGGAGCGAAAGCAUGGGGAGCGAACAGG
rnacentral:rRNA from 2 species